rnacentral:rRNA from 1 species
UACGAAGGGGGCUAGCGUUGCUCGGAAUCACUGGGCGUAAAGGGUGCGUAGGCGGGUCUUUAAGUCAGGGGUGAAAUCCUGGAGCUCAACUCCAGAACUGCCUUUGACACUGAAGAUCUUGAGUUCGGGAGAGGUGAGUGGAACUGCGAGUGUAGAGGUGGAAUUCGUAGAUAUUCGCAAGAACACCAGUGGCGAAGGCGGCUCACUGGCCCGAUACUGACGCUGAGGCACGAAAGCGUGGGGAGCAAACAGG